GCAUUGGUUUCAGUGGUAGAAUUCUCGCCUGCCACGCGGGAGCCCGGGUUCGAUUCCCGGCCAAUGCA
rnacentral:tRNA from 1 species